rnacentral:rRNA from 1 species
AGUGAACGCUGGCGGUAGGCCUAACACAUGCAAGUCGAACGGCAGCACAGUAAGAGCUUGCUCUUUCGGGUGGCGAGUGGCGGACGGGUGAGGAAUACAUCGGAAUCUACUUUUUCGUGGGGGAUAACGUAGGGAAACUUACGCUAAUACCGCAUACGACCUACGGGUGAAAGCAGGGGAUCUUCGGACCUUGCGCGAUUGAAUGAGCCGAUGUCGGAUUAGCUAGUUGGCGGGGUAAAGGCCCACCAAGGCGACGAUCCGUAGCUGGUCUGAGAGGAUGAUCAGCCACACUGGAACUGAGACACGGUCCAGACUCCUACGGGGGGCAGCAGUGGGGAAUAUUGGACAAUGGGCGCAAGCCUGAUCCAGCCAUACCGCGUGGGUGAAGAAGGCCUUCGGGUUGUAAAGCCCUUUUGUUGGGAAAGAAAAGCAGCAGGUUAAUACCCCGCUGUUCUGACGGUACCCAAAGAAUAAGCACCGGCUAACUUCGUG